UGACAGCGGGGGGGGGAGCGGCGCGGCUCCAGGAAGCGCGGUUGCCACGGUAACGGGCCCGGACCGACGCGCUGCCGCGGGGACGGAGCGAUGGAGCCGCGCCCGGGGCCCGCGGGGAGCGGGGCGGCUGAAGGGCCGCAGCCCCAGCCCGAGGGACCGCCGUCCGACUGCUCCUUCCUGACCUGGAGCGCCGAGGAAGUGGCCGAGUGGGUGGCGCAGCUCGGCUUCCCCCAGUACGAGGUGCGGGGCUGCCGGCCCGGACGGAACCCCCGCCCGGUGUGUGUGUGUGUGUGGGAGCGGCGGGGGCGGCAGGGCACAGGGCCAUCCGCCUUUCCCUGCGCUCCCCUGCCCAGGAAUGCUUCAGGGCCAACGGCGUCAGCGGCCGCCGCCUGAUCCACGCGAACUGCUCCGGCCUGCCCGCCAUGGGCGUCACCGACUUCGGCCACAUGCAGGAAAUUUCACGACACGUGCGAGAGCUGCUGGGGAUUGAGGAGCCUCUCUUCAGCAGAUCCAUUGCCCUCCCAUACAGAGACAAUAUGGGUCUCUUCCUGGAGAGAAAGGCACCAACAGGAGAGAAAGCAGAUGCGCUCACUUUCUCACAGUUUAUCCAAAAAGCAGGACUGGAGCCCUACAAUACAGCUCCUUCUUUGCCAGGACCCCAGACCGUGGUGGGAGUGGAUGCUCUCCCUGCAUCACAGGACAUGCAGAGGCAGAAUUAGAGACUCAUAGUGCAUUUUUGCCUUUGUAAGAAGCCCAGCAGCCACAGCAGACUGUACCCUUAUUACCUGGCAGAUUGUUCAAGGAGGUACAGUUCCACCUUUUCACAAUUACAAAAUAUUGUGCACUGCACUGCCACUGCAACUCUCAGAUAUCUUAUUACACCAAACCCAUUCCCACAUUGUCUCUUUUCUGCAAUACUUUGUUGCUUGCAGGAACUAAGUGAAGUGGAGGUUGUUGAUCAGACUCUACCAUUGUCUGUUUUUUACUUCUGCUUCACAGAUGAUUAAAAAAGACCAAAACCACAAUCAAAGACAUAUUUUAGGCACAAGUGAUUGAUAAGAACUGCCCAGAUGCUCAAGUGAAUAGAUUUCUCCCAGGCUUCAGUGUCUGCAGACUGGGCUUGCUCUGAAACCCAGAUAAAUGGCAUAUACAAUAACUGGUGUACAGGUGUGGUGACAGCUGCUAUCAGCAAUCAUAAUUAAGCAAGGGGUCUAAGUGCAACAUGCAUAACUAAUCCUUGGCCACAGAAAUUAUUUCCUGUGAGGCAAACCAGGCAGGCAGUGUUUUGUCAUGGUAAACAGUACUGAAACACAUGAUAGAUGGUGGCAGAAAGUACAAAAGAAUACUGAACUAGAGAAUUUAGGGAAUAAAAAUUGCUUUGUCCUGGGUGGAUUUGGACAGAGUUUUCAGUUACCUGCUUUUUCCUUGAAGGACAUAUCAUAUAGUCUGUGGUGGUGGGGAUGGGGUGCAUUAUGACCAACAAGGAAGUAGAAGUGCUGAUGAAAGCCUGGCUCAACAGAAAGAGCACUCCUGACUAAAUCAUUACUAUGUUGUCAGGAUUCAAUGGCUUUCUCAAGAUCCCUCAUGGGGAAUAAAAAAAAAAAAUUAAAAAAGACGGGGCCUGAUCCUGUUUACUUUGUUACACCAAAGCUGCAGCCACUACAAAAUAACUGUAAUUUGUUUUUUUAAUUCAGUUUUGUAUUGAAGCUGCAAUAGAAACACAGUGAAACUGAAGCAGUUCAUAGGCCAAGAAGACUAUGUAAUAAGCAAAUUCAGGCAAAAAAAAAUGCUCAGGCAACCAGGGAUAAGCAAGUUUGCUGAGCAGUGUAGAGAAUGAAACUCAUAGAAGAAAAUGUGUGCAUAGGGUUAUUGGCUGGAAUAGUUUAGAGUCUGAGAGUUAACAGUGCUGGUUCUUGCACUGUUUAGUCCCAUGAAAAGGCUGGGAUGAGAUCUCAGCAAAGCAUUCUUCAUGGGCUUCAUUAUGGUUUGUGACGAUUUAGAAUCAUACUCAGCAUUUUCCUCUGGAAUUUCUGAGAAACUGUUGGAAGCAGCUGUGGAUAAUGGAGAUUUGUCAUCCGGUAUCACACUAGGCUCCACUGCAGCUGAAGUGAGAGAUGUCUUGGUGCUGACCUGCCCACAUGGCUUUGUAGGACAGUCUCCAGAGGGUGCCUGUACAGUAGAGCACCAGGCAUCAGACGGCACCAGAGAAGCUCUCUCUUUUCCAGCAGCUGGCUAAAGAGAGACUUUCUCAGUGACACAGCUGUCAGGUCAAACCAGGGGAAGGUUCUGGGAAGGGAAAACAAGUGGAAACAUUUACUGGCAACAACUGUCCAAAGCAGCUUGCUAGUAGUGUAAUAAAUAGUGGUUUUCUUCAGUGUCUGACUACAAGACUCUUUCUUGGGUCUUUGAGAAACCAUCAAACUCAGAGACUUGGAUAUAAAAUGUUGCAGGCAUCACUUGGUCAAGUGAAGUUAAACAGACUAAUGGCUCUAGAACAGUCCUGAAAAAGCAGGAAUGCUUUCCCUCGAGCAGCCUUCCCAUCUUAACAUCCUCAAUAGCCCAGUUCAUGAACUGUCAUAAGAUCAUUACCCCCAAUAUCUCUAGAUAUUCCCAUAGGAUUUUUUUUUUUUUGCAUCCAAUGCCCUAGUCUUGAUCAGUUGCUUCAGACAACCCUGAUAAGUAGGAUCUAGGGACAAAAUAACUCAGUCCAGGUCUUCUGUUGCUAAAACAUCAUCAAAGGCAGUUCCUGGGGCAGAGAUGUGGUCCUAAGGAUAGCAUAGAGUUCAGCACCUUCCAACCCAACAAGGCAGGCCAUGCUUUAUGUGAGAUGAGGCAAGUUGCAAAGCAGAGACAAGAAGCACCUCAGCAUUCAGCUGUCUUUCUCCUCUUGAGUAAUUGGAGAGGCAAAUCUUUGCUGACAAAACUCUUGCACACAAAGCUGGGCAGGAAGGUUUUUGCUCUGCACAGAUGAGGCAGCAUUCAGGAAAGUUGAGGUCAUUGCUUAGUUUCAGUACCUUCUGGUGAGGCAGAUUCUGCCACAUGAUGCUGUUCAGGCCUGCAUAAAAAAUGACCGCCAUCUAUUCAUGGAAUUUUAUUUUCUUUGCAGGAUGAACUAUAAAUUAAAAUGAAGUAUAAAUUACCAGUAUGCACACAGAUGUGAAGAGAUAUUCUCAUCUCACACUGCUGGGAGGAAUCACACUGACAACCAGACCUGUUUGGUUUGAAAUCUCUGAUCGAGGACCAUUUUAGGGGAGGGAUGGAGGUGUCAAGGCUGCACACAGUGACAGGACAAAUGACAGCAGACAGACAGCAUGUGUGACAGGAGGCAGCAGAGGAGCACAAUGUCCUCCCAGGCCACCACCUAAGCAUUGUUACAGAAGUAGGUAAAGCUCUGCUUCUGCAGGGCUAUUGCACUAAGCAAGGUGAAAGAGACUCAAAAGCUCAGAGAGACAGGAGAGCUGAUGAACCAGCACACCUCUAGGCACUGGAACACAUUUACCUGUGCUCUGCCACAUGCAGGUGAAACACAAACCACUGCUACCAGACUGGCAGCAGUGUCUGCCUGCCCAAAGUGGCACACAGGGACUUUGGUGGCUGCCCAUCACUAUUCUUACAUAGCAAAGGGCAGCAGCAGAGUGACACGAAUAAAUAAGCAAAGAGCUCAACUGCCUGGCCCAGUCCUUGCAGGCUGAUUUAAAGUCUUUAGCUGAAGCAGCUGAGCCUUGGGAUCUGGCUGGUUUUCAAUAUCUAUAAAAAUCUAUCUAAUAAACCCUGUUUUUUUUUCUUCCCUGAGAUGAUCAGAAAGAGGAUUUUAUUCCAAACAUCUCCCUGGAGGACCGCUCUCUUCUUAUCUAACAUCUAGUUUAUGGAGUUAUAUGAUUAUAUAUGCAGCCUGUAGAUGGCAUCUGUUUACUCAAUUAGUAUGAGCUACAUAAAAAUACAAGCUGUAUUAGACUUGUUACUAUUAAUUUUAGUAUCCCUCACCUAAAAUGGCCCUAGAUCAAGGGCAAUCUUAUCAAUUUGUCACAGGGAGUGAAGAAAGUGACCCAGACUCUCUUCAGUGGUGCCCAGUGAUGACAAGGGGCACUGGACACAAACUGAAAUGUGCUGGUCCAUCUGAAGACACAAACCCACCUUCUACUGUGAGUGUUGCCAAAUUCAGAACAUAUUUCCCAGAGAAGCUGAGUUAUCUCCAGCUGUGAUGAGACUGAAAACCCACAUAGCCAGGGUCCUGUCUGCCUGUUCCAGGUGAUCCUGGUAAAGCAUGAGCGGACUAGAUGAUCAAGAGGUCUCUUCCAAUCCAAAUGAUUCCAUAAGAAAAAAAAGAGUUCAUAGUGCAGCAGGGAGGCUGGAAUCCAAAUCCACUCUCAUGUUUGUGUGACCCGCUAUGGCAGCGAACUCUCCUACAAACUCUCUAAAAUUAAUUCAUCUGUGCUGAGAGCACUGAAGGUGUUAAAUAAGGUACUGCUGCAAGCAAUGUCACUCCAUGGUGACAUGCACUGUGCUUUUCAGAACAUUAAAAAACAUCCUGCAACUCCUUUUGUGGGAGGUGAUAAAUUGCUCAGGAUUAACACACAAGAGUGACAAUGUACUUAGUGGGGAAAGGAAAGAAACAGGCCAAGGAGAAAGAGACAGCUUUAUUUACAGAAUUGAAGUGAGGUCUGAAAGGAUGAAGCCAGCAGCUGCCUGAGGAGUUGUGUUUCUGAGAAAGUGCAUUUCAAUCCUUCCUGGCAUAACACUUUCUGAGAAAAGAGCUGCUGGGGCCAGCAGGUUUGUGUCCCCUGAGAGAGGUCCCUGCUUGCUCUCCAUCCAACCCAUCAGGACUCUGACCACCUCUACACCAGGUAUUUCCCUGAUCAAAGCAUCUUCCAAAUGCUGCAGUGCUAGCAGAAGGAUACUGGCAGAGGUUGCUGU